rnacentral:rRNA from 1 species
UGGGGAAUUUUGGACAAUGGGCGAAAGCCUGAUCCAGCCAUUCCGCGUGCAGGAUGAAGGCCCUCGGGUUGUAAACUGCUCUUGUACGGAACGAAAAGCUCUCUUCUAAUACAGGAGGGUCAUGACGGUACCGUAAGAAUAAGCACCGGCUAACUACGUGCCAGCAGCCGCGGUAAUACGUAGGGUGCAAGCGUUAAUCGGAAUUACUGGGCGUAAAGCGUGCGCAGGCGGUUUUGUAAGACAGAGGUGAAAUCCCCGGGCUCAACCUGGGAACUGCCUGUGUGACUGCAAGGCUGGAGUGCGGCAGAGGGGGAUGGAGUUCCGCGUGUAGCAGUGAAAUGCGUAGAUAUGCGGAGGAACACCGAUGGCGAAGGCAAUCCCCUGGGCCUGCACUGACGCUCAUGCACGAAAGCGUGGGGAGCAAACAG